rnacentral:rRNA from 1 species
AGCAGCCGCCGCGGUAAUACAGAGGGUGCAAGCGUUAAUCGGAAUUACUGGGCGUAAAGCGCGCGUAGGUGGUUUGUUAAGUUGGAUGUGAAAUCCCCGGGCUCAACCUGGGAACUGCAUCCAAAACUGGCAAGCUAGAGUAUGGUAGAGGGUGGUGGAAUUUCCUGUGUAGCGGUGAAAUGCGUAGAUAUAGGAAGUAACACCAGUGGCGAAGGCGACCACCUGGACUGAUACUGACACUGAGGUGCGAAAGCGUGGGGAGCAAACAGGAUUAGAUACCCCAGUAGUCCCUGUCUCUUAUAC